GUAUCUCUACCAUAUACAGACACCAACUAGUAUCCCCUUUAUGAUCUAGCCAGGUCAUUACAGUAUAUACAGUAUCUCUACCAUAUACAGACACCAACUAGUAUCCCCUUUAUGAUCUAGCCAGGUCCUUACAGUAUAUACAGUAUCUCUACCAUAUACAGACACCAACUAGUAUCCCCUUUAUGAUCUAACCAGGUCAUUACAGUAUAUACAGUAUCUCUACCAUAUACAGACACCAACUAGUAUCCCCUUUAUGAUCUAGCCAGGUCAUUACAGUAUAUACAAUAUCUUUACCAUAUACAGACACCAACUAGUAUCCCCUU